GACCCAUCUCCCUGGCCCCAAUACCGCAACUUUUAAAAGUAUUUAUUUGCUUCUUGUCUACACACUGACUACUACUACUACUCCUGCCUUGGUAACCACUGUCUCAAUGCUUACUGACAUUUGCGUUCCUGCCCUCAAGAAGAACGUGCAGUUCUGGAAAUCAGAGAAAGUAGAAGUACCCCCGCGCCCUCGGCCUCGAGUGCGCUUCCGUCCUCCUUCGAGCAAGCCGGGGUCGUCGGACGACUCGGAGGGGGACCGGUUCUCGGUGUACAGCGUGAGAAGACACGUCUCCUUCUACUGCUGAGCGGGAGGGCGCGGCGGCCGCGGCGGCGGCGGGGGAUCGGCUGCAGGAACCGCGUCCAGAUCCAGCAUCCAAGGAAGAAUUCUGAACAGAUCCUAAAGACGUGGCCUUGAUCGAUAACCGGAGACUUUCAGACACGGAACCAGGCAGAGCAGGCGCCUGGCGCCCCCAAGCCCCCCCCCCCCCCCAUUUCAUGUACCCCAGGGUCAGCUUUUUUGGAUAUUGGCUUCAAUUCAUUGAUAGUUGCAAACACUAGCACCGUUUUGCCAAAGAGUCUUUUAUUCUGAGAAAUGUGAGGACAGUUGGGGACACGGAGAGCCCCUUAGAAGUGGAGCCUGCAGCCCUAAGGGUCACCCUGGGUCCUGUUUGCUCACGGGCUCUGAGGCACUGCUGAAGGGCCCGGUAGGUAUCAGGGUCAACCCUCGCCUCCUCUCUCUGCUCAUAGGCCCAGCCGGCUCCCCGGCUCCCCCAGGGCAGGGCAGCAGGGUGGGAGCUGGGUGCCCGUGUUUCUGCGGGGAAUGCUCUGCUCUGCGCCUCCCCUGCAGACCCUUCCCAGGCACGGGCCCCUCAGCCCGCAGAGUUCUAGUCUGAUGCUGCUGUUGGGUAGGCGUGUGCAUCAGACCUUGCCGUUUACUUUGUUCUCCUGCUCGGGGGCUCUGUGAAACGGUCAGGGACCAACUGUGACGCCCAAAUGGACCCAGCCACCACCUGGAAAGCAUGGCCUUGAGGGGACAAAGCUUGCUUGGGGCUGGAGCUAGUCAGCGGGCGGGGCGCUUGCCUUGCAUGCAGCUGAUCAAGGUUUAACCUGAGCGCAAAGCCAAGAGGAAACAGCUGGGUGUGUUCCCUUCAACCUCCCCCCUCCCCAACAACAGACAGACUAAAACCCCCAAAGAAGCCCCCUUCAAAUGAAGUUAAAUAUCUGGCUUUUUGGUUUGCUUUUGUUUUUGCACCACGCCCAGGUCAGGCCAACCCUUACUCUUGGCGCCGCACACAGGAAUCCCUCCUGACGGGACUGGAGGGACCAUGUGGGAUGUCCAGGAUGGAGUCCAGGUCUGCCGCGAGCAAGGCAAAUGCCCUGCCCGCUGCACUCUCUCUCCAGCCCCGAGACAGAGUCCGUUUUAUUCAGUGAACAUGACUGUAGGAACCAUGGCCGUGACUGAGUUAAAUUCAAGCAUGGCCCACGUUGCUGGCGAGAGGGUCCGGGACCAGGUGUGGCACUCAGCCAACAGAGGGUGUGGUCUGGCCCGCUUCCCCCCAACCCCCCACCCCUGCCUGCUCCAUAGCCCCCUGGAAGCCCGUCCACCCAGGGGGCAGCGUCUCAGCUGAUGCUUCUUUUCUAGAGCUCAGGCUUUUCCCAGCCACGACGAGGCAGUGUGCAUGACGAGGUGGCGUCUAAGGGGAGAAAUACGUCACCAGCCCGGGAAGGCAUUCCUGCUGGGCGGGCAGCGCAAUCUGAUUUUACUAUUUUAGAACUAAGUCUUUAAAUAUUUCAAAAGUAUUUUCAAGGGCCAGAGAGAUGGGCCAGCAGGUAGGGCACGUGCUGUGCAACCCUUCAGAUGAGGGUUUGAUUCCUGGUUAGCCCCGAGGCACAGCCAGGGGUGAGCCCUAAGCAGAGCCCUGAGGUCUGCCUGGUGGGGCCCCCCAAAGCACCCACCCCCCAUUUUUUAAUAUUAAAAUUUUCUUGGUUAAAGUCUGUCGUGCAAAGGAGCCUAAUCUUAAUAUUUUAAAACUGUAUGGUUAAAAAAUAAUUGAAAAUGUAAAUAUUUCAGUUUUUUUGAAUAUUAAAAAACUGCUGUGCUAAGCUGGCUUCAUAUUUUUUUUUUUAAAAUUUUGGGUCACACCUGGCGAUGCAUAGGGGUUACUCCUGGCUCUGCACUCAGGAACUACCCCUGGCCGUGCUCAGGGGACCAUAUGGGAUGCUGGGAUUUGAACCCGGGUCGGCCGCGUGCAAGGCAAACACCCUACCCACUGUGCUAUCGCUCCAGCCCCUGGCUUCAUAUUUUCAAUGAAGACCCAUCGCCACACAGACAUGAGUGUUUAAAUCAAGUGGGAGGACUUGAUUUAACUCCCUGGGGGGGGGGGGAACAAACCCCAGGGUGGCCGGAAGAGGGCAGCCUGAGUGACUCCUGACUGGAUGUGCCCACUGUCUCACUCUGAAGGAAGUUUUAGAGAGACUUGGGUCCUCAUGUCUUGAAAUGAACCAGGACCAGAACAAGCUGUGGGCCAGGCCAGUCUUCCCAUCAUGGGUUCCUGGGGAAGUUCUCUUGGGCAGAAUUAUAAAAUGAAUUCAAAUCAUUAUAAUGUGAAUGUAGUAUAUCACUUUUUUUUUUUUUUGAGAGGGGACUGUUUUUUUUUUCCUGGGAGGUACCACUAAUGACGAGGAAUUGCUUGCAUUGCAUAGAUGGCAAAACCUCCCCUCCGGCCCCAUCUUAGCAUCGGAGUUGCCAAUCUUCUUGCCAAUCUUCGCUAGGGUGAAUGGGAUCACUCAUCUGGGCCCAGCCUUGGACCCGUAAGAUGAUGUUAUAAGGCAGGUGAGACGAACACUUCUCACUGUGGCUAAGUCAUUUCAGGAAGGAGAGGGCUGCACGUGGAGGAGGAGGAACAGGUUCUCAACCGCAGCGGUUAUUCACACACUAAUGCUUUGCCUGCAGCCAAGGUUCAGUAAAGCUUGUGUCUUGUUCUUGGCUAGUCACGGGGAGGAGCGGUCUUCACCUAGUUAAAGCACCCUGAAAAGUUCAAAAUGGCACAAAGCAAGACAAGCAAAAUCCUGGGACUGACAUUGAUGGCCGCCAAGCAAGAAAAAGAGCCCAGAGUAUAGCCAACCUUUUUGUUUUUUUUUUAAUUAGAGUAUAUUAUACUUCCAAACUGGAUACACUAGAAAUUGGCAAUGCGACAUAAGAUGCAGUUACUGUCAAAAUGACCCUGUACAGCCUUGUAAUGCAAAAAGCUUUAUACAAUACAAAUUUUUCAGUAAUGUACACAGACCUCGACAGUAUGAUCCUCUGAACACAAUAUGGAGAGUUAAAAAAAAAACAAGGAGAGAGGAGGAAAGUGCUGAGAACGCGAACUGCAUCACUACAUGGAAAAAUAAGCUCGCUUUCCUCGGAGAAUGCAUAGUGAGAACAGAACCCAAGUGAGUUGGCCGGUGAAUUUCUUGAAGACAAGAGUGUUUUCCACGGAAAGGAUAGCUAUGGAAUACAUCCUUCCCUGAGUAUCCAACUGCAAACCGUAUUCAGGGGUACAUAUUUUAUCUUGGUGGCGUCUGAAAAAAAAAUGCUGUAGUUUUUUUUCCUCUUUAUUAAUAAUAAUAAUAAUAUAAAAAAGUCAAACAAACUCCAAACACACCUUUUCUCACUCAGAAAACGUUUUAUAAUUUACCGGAAAGAUGGAGGACUCUUUCCAAAGCGCUGCUAGACUUGCCCAGUUGCAGGAAGCAGUGAAAUGCAUGAAGGCAUUGUGCAGUCCGUCCGCGCGCCCCUCUCCACCUGGGCCGUGUCGGCCUCGGGCCUGGGUAUUGCACAGACGCUGUGCAGCGAAGUCUGUCGCUGCCAUGGGGCAGGGUUUGACCCGCGCUGCUCCUGGCCACGCCCCCGGGUCUUUGCUGCUGGGCCCAGGUGAAGGGGGGGAAGGGUCGCCCUGGCCCUCUUUGCUAUCAGCACACUGAGCUAGUAUUUUUGAGAGCACAGAGGAGCCAAGUGGCACUUUUUUUUUUCCAUUCUAUGGAGACAAAGACACGACUUAUGUGUUGGGGGGGGGGG